GGGAUUAGAUACCCCACUAUGCUUAGCCUUAAACCUAGAUGUUAAAUUUACAAACAACAUCCGCCAGGGUACUACAAGCGCUAGCUUAAAACCCAAAGGACUUGACGGUGUCUCAGACCCACCUAGAGGAGCCUGUUCUAGAACCGAUAAUCCCCGUUAAACCUCACCACCCCUUGUUUUCCCCGCCUAUAUACCGCCGUCGCAAGCUUACCCUGUGAAGGUUUCAUAGUAAGCAAAAUGGGUAGAUCCCAAAACGUCAGGUCGAGGUGUAGCUUACGAGGUGGGAAGAAAUGGGCUACAUUUUCUAUGUCAGAAUAAUACGAACAGCACCAUGAAAUUUGUGCUCGAAGGUGGAUUUAGUAGUAAAAGAUAAAUAGAGA
rnacentral:rRNA from 1 species